GUCGGCGUCGCUUAGUGGUUAGAGCAUCUCGUUGUGGUUAUCUCUCCGCUACAUGGAUCCGAGGAGACGGGUGUUCGAUUCACCCCGCUGACA